UACGGAGGGUGCAAGCGUUGUCCGGAAUUAUUGGGCGUAAAGCGCGCGCAGGCGGUCCUUUAAGUCUGAUGUGAAAGCCCACGGCUCAACCGUGGAGGGUCAUUGGAAACUGGGGGACUUGAGUACAGAAGAGAAGAGUGGAAUUCCACGUGUAGCGGUGAAAUGCGUAGAGAUGUGGAGGAACACCAGUGGCGAAGGCGACUCUUUGGUCUGUAACUGACGCUGAGGCGCGAAAGCGUGGGGAGCAAACAGG
rnacentral:rRNA from 1 species